AUUGAACGCUGGCGGCAGGCCUAACACAUGCAAGUCGAGCGGGGCGGCGGACGGGUGGGUAAUGCCUAGGAAUCUGCCUGGUACUGGGGGAUAACUUCCGGUAACGGGCGCUAAUACCGCAUACUAUCAGAUGAGCCUAGGUCGGAUUAGCUAGUUGGUGGGGUAAAGGCCUACCAAGGCGACGAUCCGUAGCUGGGCUGAGAGGAUGAUCAGGCACACUGGAACUGAGACACGGUCCAGACUCCUACGGUAGGCAGCAGUGGGGAAUAUUGGACAAUGGGAGAAAGCCUGAUACAGCCAUGCCGCGUGUGUGAAGGAGGUCUUCGGAUUGUAAAGUACUUUAAGUUGGGAGGCGUUACCAACAGAAUAAGCACCGGCUAACUUCGUGCCAGCAGCCGCGGUAAUAC
rnacentral:rRNA from 1 species